UAAGGAAUCUUGCACAAUGGGGGAAACCCUGAUGCAGCGACGCCGCGUGGAGGAAGACGGCCUUCGGGUUGUAAACUCCUUUUAUCAGGGACGAACAUUGACGGUACCUGAUGAAUAAGGACUGGCUAACCAUGUGCCAGCAGCCGCGGUAAUACAUGGAGUCCAAACGUUAUCCGGAUUUACUGGGCGUAAAGCGUUCGUAGGCGUCCUGCCAAGUCUUCGGUGAAAUCUCCGGGCUUAACUCGGAAACUGUCGAGGAAACUGGCUGGAUUGAGUGUGACAGAGGCAGAUGGAAUUCUUGGUGUAGAGGUAGAAUUCGUUGAUAUCAAGAAGAACACCAGUGGCGAAGGCGAUCUGCUGGGUCAUCACUGACGCUGAGGAACGAAAGCGUGGGUAGCGA
rnacentral:rRNA from 1 species